UUCGUAGGGUGCAAGCGUUAAUCGGAAUUACUGGGCGUAAAGCGUGCGCAGGCGGCUUUGCAAGACAGAUGUGAAAUCCCCGGGCUUAACCUGGGAACUGCAUUUGUGACUGCAUGGCUGGAGUGCGGCAGAGGGGGAUGGAAUUCCGCGUGUAGCAGUGAAAUGCGUAGAUAUGCGGAGGAACACCGAUGGCGUAGGCAAUCCCCUGGGCCUGCACUGACGCUCAUGCACGAAAGCGUGGGGAGCAAACAGG
rnacentral:rRNA from 1 species